CAGACAUCUAACCAGUUGGGAGUUAGAAUAUUUUCACAUUUCAUCUCCUAUUUUAAAGCAGUAGUGAGUUGUGACAGGUGACCAGGUAGAGGGGCUGGCACUGCAGUACACACUGGGAUAGACAAGUUGUCAGGAAAAGAAACGUUAGCUGAUGCCCGGGAUUCCUUCUCUCUUGGCUCUCUGUCCACGUGGAGAACAAUGUGAGACCUUUUGGUGUCUUUCACAGGGAAAUUCAUUGCCCAGUUUGAAGACAGACUCAGAGUGAUCUUGACCUGCACCGCAUGUUAGCUGCUUGCCACUCUUAGAUGGCAAAACGAGGUUUCCGUAGAAUGGAAGGAGCUUUCCCCAUGCUGAGGCUCCCUGUGUCCUGGCCACUACUGUUACUUCACUGUGCCCUGUGGAUCCCAUCUCUCCGCAUGCUUCCUUGUCUCUAAAAAUCUGCCUCGAGGCUCUAAGCUAAGUAAGGAGAAAUGGACGUCAACCCGCUUCCAUCCUGGAUGACUUCUGACAAAGGACUCUGGACUAAGGGCUCCAGAGUUGAGGCAGAGCAGUCAGUGGGCACCUCAGGUGGGCAGGGUGUUCGCUGGGCCCUAGAGAAGAUACGGGGUUGGGUCCCAGAAGGAAUGUCAGUGAGCGGAGAAUCUGUCACCUCCACUCUUAAGGAUCUUAGUAUUAAAAAUUAUCUUGGU
rnacentral:lncRNA from 1 species